AUUGAACGCUGGCGGCAGGCCUAACACAUGCAAGUCGAGCGGAUGAAGGGUGCUUUCUCCUGGAUCCAGCGGCGGGCGGGUGUGUAAUGCCUAGGAAUCUGCCUGGUAUGGGGGUAUAACGUCCUCAGACGGGCGCUAAUACCGCAUACUUCCUGCUCCUGAAAGUGGGUGGUCGUCGGACCUCUCGCGCGCAUAUGAGCCUAGGUCGGAUUAGAUAGUUGGUUGGGUAAAUGCCUACCAAGCGGAGGAUCCGUAACUGGUCUGAGAGGAGGAUCAGUCACAUUGGAAGUGAGACACGGUCAAGACUACUACGGGAGGGAGCAGUGGGGAAUGUUAGACAGAGGUGGAAAGUAUUGUACAACGAGGGGGAGUGUGUGAAGAAGGUCUUGGGAUUGUAAAGAACUUUAAGUUGGGAGGAAGCGCAGUAAGUUAAUACGUUGCUGUUUUGACGUUACCAGCAGAAUAAGCACCGGCUAACUUCGUG
rnacentral:rRNA from 1 species